rnacentral:rRNA from 1 species
UGAGGAAUUUUCCGCAAUGGGUGAAAGCCUGACGGAGCAAUGCCGCGUGAAGGAUGAAGGUCUUUGGGCUGUAAACUUCUUUUCUCAUUGAAGAAAUAUUGACGGUAUUUGAGGAAUAAGCAUCGGCUAAUUUCGUGCCAGCAGCCGCGGUAAUACGAAAGAUGCAAGCGUUAUCCGGAAUUAUUGGGCGUAAAGCGUUUGUAGGUGGUCAAGUGUGUUUAAUGUUAAAGAUUAAAGCUUAACUUUAAAAUGGCAUUAAAAACUACUAGACUUGAGUAUGAUAGAGGUAAAGGGAAUUCCCAGUGUAGCGGUGAAAUGCGUAGAUAUUGGGAAGAACACCAACGGCGAAAGCACUUUGCUAGGUUAAUACUGACACUGAGAAACGAAAGCUAAGGGAGCA